CUCAUGGUUACUGUGUUGCAGAAUGGG
rnacentral:sRNA from 1 species